rnacentral:rRNA from 1 species
UACGAAGGGGGCUAGCGUUGCUCGGAAUCACUGGGCGUAAAGGGUGCGUAGGCGGGUUCUAAGUCAGAGGUGAAAGCCUGGAGCUCAACUCCAGAACUGCCUUUGAUACUGGAAGUCUUGAGUAUGGCAGAGGUGAGUGGAACUGCGAGUGUAGAGGUGAAAUUCGUAGAUAUUCGCAAGAACACCAGUGGCGAAGGCGGCUCACUGGGCCAUUACUGACGCUGAGGCACGAAAGCGUGGGGAGCAAACAGG